ensembl:lncRNA
CCAUUUGCUCCGUGUCCUCCAUCAUCCCCUCCACCUCACAGAAGUCCGAUUCCAGUGAGGUCAAAAAACUACAGAGAAACAGGAAGAAAAAGAUACAGGGGGUAUGAUACAUCCGCACCCUGGCGCGGCAUCACUGAGGGGAGUUGGAGUUAAGCCUCCAUACAGUUUGCUUGGGAGUGAUAGAAGAGCGUCCAGAAUAAGGAGAGACUGAGAUGGUGAGAGGAGAUGGGACAGAGGCUCUCCAUCCCUGAUGAAACACCAGGACAGAUUCAGCAGUGUGUGAGGAAGAGGAGGAGAAAAGGGAGCCAGCAACAGCUGAGAGACGGAGAGAACAGGGGGAGAAUAGACACGUGUUCUCUGUAGUGGAGGGAGUGCUAAAACCAUUUAAAACAGUUUCUAGAAAUUUGAUUUUUUUUGUGUAUUUGCAGAAGUAUCUCCAACACAAACUAUAACAGCUGCAUACAGGAAACCACUCACUUAUGUUUACCCUGCAGGACAGGAUCUGACAGGGAAAGAAGGAAAAAAUCAAAGGAACCAAGGACAACUUUGACAACCCAAACAUCAGCCUGUUUAAUGCUCUGAUAUCUUCAC